rnacentral:lncRNA from 1 species
UCAUAUGGUUCUGGAGGCAGGGAAGUCCAAGAGCAUGGUGCUGGCAUCUGGUGGGGUCCUUGCUGCAUUAACCCAAGGCAGAAAGCAAGGGGCACAAGAAAGCAUGUGCAAGAGAGCUUGCUUUUAUAACAAAGGCACUUCACCAAUAACCCACUCACAUGAUUAUGGCAUUAAUCCAUUUAUGAGGGCAGAAUCCUCAUGACCCGUUUGCUCCCUGCAAAGGCCUCAUCAACACCACCACAGUGGGAUCUAAGUUUCCAACAUGUGAACUUUUGAGGGACAUAAUCAAACCACAGCACAAGUAUAUUAGUUUCCUGUGGCUGUUUUAACAAAUAACCACAAACUUGGUGGCUUAAAACAACAGAAAUGUAUUCUCUCUUAGUUCUGGAGGCCAGAAGUCCAAAAUCAAAGUGUUGGCAAGACCAUACAUUCUCUGAAGCCUCUAGGGGAGGAUACUUCCUUAUCUCUUCCAGCCACUGGUGGCAUUCCUUGGCUUGUGACUGUAUCAGACUGUAUCAUUCCAACUUCUUCUUCCCUCUUUAUAUGGCCUCCUUUGUGUCAUCUCUUUUGUCUAAGGAUACAUGUUACUAUAUUUAGACCCACCCAGGUAAUUCAUGAUGAACUCAAAAUCCUUCACUUAAUUAUAGCUUCAAAGGCCCUUUUCCAAAUAAGGUCACAUUCACAGUUCUGGGGGUGAGGAAAUGGUUCUGGAGCCACCGUUCAAACUGCUGUAUCUUUGUACAAAAGACAGGGGACAUCAGACCAUUGACCAGGCACAGCAGGUGAGUCCAGAGAUAACUCUCCCAAGUCCAUCCCCCAGAACAAACAUGGUAGACAGGUAAAUGUGAACUGAACAUCUCAUGCACAAAUGCCCCAAUCGUGUUACUAUAACCUCAGUCCAUCAUUUGUUUGAACGCAACAUCAUAGUAUUUUUAUUUCCCAGCCAGAAAAAUGUAUGAUUUUUUUUAGAUGAGAUCAGAUAUUUCCUUAAUAUUUUCUAGAGCACCUAUACCGAUGGAAUCAGAGGUCCUGACAGUGAUAGAGAAAGAGCUCUCUUCCCUGUGUCCCGGGAGCAGUGCCAGAUGGGGAAACAGGAGGCCCAGGUGCCUCUUGUCCUAGCCUCCAAAAGCUCAUGACAGCUUAGAUGGUAGGAACAGAAAAAUGGGAACAAAAGAUGACAUGAUGACCAAAGCCAGACAGUUGGGAUGGACUCAAGAAUUUGACCUCCCAAAGCCAGGCAUGUCACUGUUGUUUUGAAGCAAGCUGCCUUUUAAAAAAGUGACUUGAUUGCCAGGCAUUGUUGACUACACACCCAUUUCUAAAGGAUGGUGAUUUACAAAUCGCCUGAAGAUAGUCUUUCAAAUUUGGACAUUUAAAAAAGAAACUUUUACUGUAGUCAUGAAGUAGUAUCAAAGUUUACCACAAGUUUGUAUUGAGAGAAGAACAAACAAUAUAUGCUAAUAUGAAAAACAGCUCUACUUAGAAAGCUACUGCUUGGGUUUUCUUAUUAGGCAUAGUUCUCCAGACUGAGUUGGUUUUACUCAUCUACAUGAUUUUUCCUUGCCUUAUGGAACAGAAAUUCAGGCCCACUCGAAUUCAGUUAUUUUAGGGCUCUUUAAAAUCCAGUAUUUGUGAUUUAAAUGAUGCGGAGGGACUUUCAUUACCUGUGUCUUUGCUUAUUUCUCUCUGGCCCUCAGAACACCCCACCCUGACCUUUAGGGGAAAUUGACAGAGGCAGAGGGUUUCACCUGCCUCAAUUGUCACCAGCCCUGUUACAUUCUUCCUUCCAAGCCUUAGCCUCACAGGGACCUUCUCAUUAUUGAACAAUUGCCUUCAAAGCAGUAGAAUAGCCCAAUUGUUAUGGAGAUUAAAGAUACCGAUUGCAAAACUCCUGUAAAUAAAAUCUUCACUGACAAACCCAGUUUCUUUUCAUAGGCUUUUCUUCUGUAAUCUCUUUCUGGCAGAACAUCUCAUGUUUUGAUGUUAGAGAUUCAGUUACCAACCACAGUAAAUAAAGCAAAAUAAUAAUAGAAAAAUAGUAUAGAACUCACCCUAAAAACAAACAUUGGCCAACCAUGUUUAUUUUUUGUCUCUCUUUGCACUCCUGAGAAUUGAUAGGGGAAGAAUGUACCACCUCUAAUUCAGGUGAUUUCUGAUUAGCAAGCUAUGGAAAGUCUUCAGGUUGAGUUUUAGCCAGUUCACGCUCCCCUAAAUGGCAUGGAAUAGACUAUUUUCUGUUUUAAGAAAAAAUAGAACAAUGGCACUAAAUGCUUGACUGAAUGUUUGACUAAAUGUUGACUGAAUCAUGGAUAGGAAAGAUUGGGCAGAAAAGACAGCCACUGCCUCCAGACACAGGAUGCCACAAUCCUGGGCACCAUCAUUAUUCCAUACAACCUUAGGGUCAUUUUUAGGGUUUAGAACUUUCUCAAUAGGGUUUCAAGAUUUUGAAAAGUGUCUUCCAAUUCUGAUCUCCGUAGAUCCUGUUAUGGGAAUUAACCUUUUUGGAAGGGGAUUCUUGUUCUUAAAGAUGAAAUUCCCUACUUUCUUUCCUGGAGGGAAUCAGUAUGGGCAGAGGGAAGAGGAGAUGGCGAUUCUGACCUGUGUGUCUCAUGUCACCUAACACCUAUGGGGUGGCAUGAAACUUGAGCUUUAAAACACACCAGGGGCCAGGCACAGUGGCUCAUGCUGGUAAUCCCAGCACUUUGGGAGACCGAGGUGGGUGGAUCACCUGAGGUCAGGAGUUCGAGACCAGCCUGCCAACAUGGCAAAACCCCGUCUCUACUAAAAAUACAAAAAUCAGCUGGGUGUGGUGGCGGGCACCUGUAAUCCCAGCUACUUGGGAGGCUGAGGCAGGAGAAUCGCUUGAACCUGGGAGGCAGAGGUUGCAGUGAGCCGAGAUCAGGCCAUUGUACUCUAGCCUGGGUGACAAGAGUGAAACUCCAU